rnacentral:miRNA from 1 species
AAGGGAGAUCAGUGGACUAGAGGAGGAAGAUUAAGGAAGGAGGAGCUGUGAAAAAAAAAUGUGUAUAUAUAUACAUAGCAUAAUUUGGUCAAUUUUUUUCACAGCUCCUCCUUCCUUAAUCUUUGUUCUCUAGUCCACUGAUGUCCCUUC